rnacentral:rRNA from 1 species
CUGGUUGAUCCUGCCAGUAGUCAUAUGCUUGUCUCAAAGAUUAAGCCAUGCAUGUCUAAGUACAUACUUUUGCACGGUGAAACCGCGAAUGGCUCAUUAAAUCAGUUAUGGUUUCUUAGAUCGUUUCUUUUACGUGGAUAACUGUGGUAAUUCUAGAGCUAAUACAUGCAAAAAGCUCCGACCGUUUGGGAAGAGCGCUUUUAUUAGACCAAAACCAAUGGGGUCGCAAGAUCCCUUUGUUUGGUGACUCUGGAUAACUUUGUGCUGAUCGCAUGGCCUAGAGCCGGCGACGUAUCUUUCAAGUGUCUGCCCUAUCAACUUUCGAUGGUAAGCGAUUUGCCUACCAUGGUUGUAACGGGUAACGGGGAAUCAGGGUUCGAUUCCGGAGAGGGAGCAUGAGAAAUGGCUACCACAUCUACGGAAGGCAGCAGGCGCGCAAAUUACCCACUCCUAGAACGGGGAGGUAGUGACGAAAAAUAACAAUACCGGACUCUAAGAGGCUCGGUAAUUGAAAUGAGUACAGUUUAAAACCCUUAACGAGGAUCUAUUGGAGGGCAAGUCUGG